UACGUAGGGGGCCAGCGUUGCUCGGAAUUACUGGGCGUAAAGGGUUCGUAGGCGGUGCGGCAAGUUGGGAGUGAAAUCUCUGGGCUUAACUCAGGGGCUGCUUUCAAAACUGCCGCGCUCGAGUGCGAGAGAGGUCAGUGGAAUUGCAGGUGUAGCGGUGAAAUGCGUAGAUAUCUGCAGGAACACCCGUGGCGAAGGCGGCUCUCUGGGACGGUACUGACGCUGAGACGCGAAAGCGUGGGGAGCGAACAGG
rnacentral:rRNA from 1 species